GCGGGUGGGGAGGAAGAGAAUUACCCUUAUCAAAACCACAGGCUGCUCUAGUACUCAGCUUACAACUUAGGGAUUGGGUUCUAUCGCCCAACAUUUACAGGGCCUGCUUGGAGUGAGCCUCUGCAUUCCUUCAUACUGAACCUUCAAAAAUGUGGCCUCCAAUAUAAUAGCAUUUUUUGUAGUAGAGUCUGUGUUUAAGGGCAUUCCUUGUCUCACCAACCACAUAUCUUUUACUAAUGCCAAUGAACCAAGCCAAUUCUCUGGUUUAUCUUUUGUUUCUUUGUGUGUAUUACCUAAUCCAAGAUGCAGUUUAGAUUGUCAGAUCUAAUGCAAUUUUUGUGCUUAAACCCCAAACAUGCUAUUUCCCUGUUUUAGUCCCGAUUUUGAAUAGCUCCCUCACUAUGGAUUUUUUAAGACAAUUGGCAAGUUGUAUUCUUUCUUAUUAUUAUGCUGGAACCGUCCACCUGAUCAGUUGGUUUGAAGUAUCAUUUUCUCCAUUUUCCCAAUAUUUGGGCUUUUGCUAACCAGAGAAGUUCAGGGCCUUAGAUUUAGCUAUAAUUCAAUUGAUUGUGCUUUUGAAUAUUGCAUGAGUUCUCUAUAUUCUCACUUAUCAUUUUUGUUAUUUAAUUAAAAAAAUUAUGCUUCUUGUAUCUGUUUAGUGCUUGAUGACUCUUCUCUCUCCAUGUGCUCACAAUCUCACAAAAUCUUUUGAGUGUUUAAAAUUCAAUAACUCUGCUAUACAGUGUCGGAAGAAGCACAGCUAUGUCUGCCCCACUUAUGAAGCAACCGGAUCCUGUCCUCAAGGAUCCAAAUGCAAGCUUCAUCAUCC
rnacentral:misc_RNA from 1 species